rnacentral:rRNA from 1 species
GUCUACGGCAAUACCACCCUGAAUGUGCCCGACCUCAUCUGAUCUCGGAAGCUAAGCAGGGUCGGGCCUGGUUAGCACUGGUAUGGGAGGAAGAGGAAAAUAUGAAUGUAGAUA